AGCUCUAGUAGCUUAGUGGUUAUAGUUUCUGCCUUGGAUGCAGGAAAUUGUGGGUUUGAACCCAAGCCGAGUCA